rnacentral:rRNA from 1 species
GACGAACGCUGGCGGCGUGCUUAACACAUGCAAGUCGAGCGGAAAGGCCUUUCGGGGUACUUGAGCGGCGAACGGGUGAGUAACACGAGAGUAAUCUGCCCGUGGCUUUGGGAUAAGCCCCGGAAACGGGGUCGAACACCGGAUAUGACCAAUCUCUGCAUGGAGGGUUGGUGGAGAGUUUUUUCGGCUAGGGAUGUGCUCGCGGCCUAUCAGCCUGUUGGUGGGGUAAGUGCCUACCAAGGCGUCGACGGGUAGCCGGCCUGAGAGGGUGACCGGCCACACUGGGUCUGAGACACGGCCCAGACUCCUACGGGAGGCAGCAGUGAGGAAUAUUGGACAAUGGGCGGAAGCCUGAUCCAGCAACGCCGCGUGAGGGAUGACGGCCUUCGGGUUGUAAACCUCUUUCAGUACCGACGAAGCGCCGAUGAUGGUGGUGACGGUAGGUACAGAAGAAGCACCGGCCAACUACGUGCCAGCCGCCGCAGUAACAC